AACGAACGCUGGCGGCAUGCCUAACACAUGCAAGUCGAACGAGACCUUCGGGUCUAGUGGCGCACGGGUGCGUAACGCGUGGGAACCUGCCCUUAGGUUCGGAAUAACUCCCCGAAAGGGGUGCUAAUACCGGAUAAUGUCUUCGGACCAAAGAUUUAUCGACUUUGGAUGGGCCCGCGUUGGAUUAGCUAGUUGGUAGGGUAAAAGCCUACCAAGGCGACGAUCCAUAGCUGGUCUGAGAGGAUGAUCAGCCACACUGGGACUGAGACACGGCCCAGACUCCUACGGGAGGCAGCAGUGGGUAAUAUUGGACAAUGGGCGAAAGCCUGAUCCAGCAAUGCCGCGUGAGUGAUGAAGGCCUUAGGGUUGUAAAGCUCUUUUACCCGGGAUGAUAAUGACAGUACCGGGAGAAUAAGCUCCGGCUAACUCCGUG
rnacentral:rRNA from 1 species